rnacentral:rRNA from 1 species
AUUAGAUACCCCACUAUGCUUUAGCCCUAAACAUUGAUAGUUUUUUACACCUACUAUCCGCCUGGGAACUACGAGCAACAGCUUAAAACCCAAAGGACUUGGCGGUGCUUUAGACCCACCUAGAGGAGCCUGUUCUGAAACCGAUAACCCCCGUUCAACCUCACCUUUUCUUGUUCUCCCCGCCUAUAUACCGCCGUCGUCAGCUUACCCUAUGAAGGCCCCUUAGUAAGCACAAUUGGUACAACCCAAAACGUCAGGUCGAGGUGUAGCGUAUGGAAAGGGAAGAAAUGGGCUACAUUCCUUAAUCACAAGGAAUUACGAAAAAUAUUACUGAAACGUGUAUCUAGAAGGAGGAUUUAGCAGUAAGCAGAAAAUAGAGCGUUCCGCUGAAACUGGCCCU